CACCCAAAACAACAGACACUCUUGGGAAAUAAACCUAAUACAGACUUUUAUCUAACAUCAGUUGUGGAAACCAUUUCACCAGGAGGUGACAUUUUGUAGUGCAACAUUGCUACAUCGGGACAUGUCACGUAGAAUGAGAAUUACAGAUCUGAAAAAAAGGAAGACAGAUGAGAAAAUGCUAAACACAGUAAAUGAAUAUUCCCAUGGAACAGAAGUAUGGUUACAAAAUAUUUGCAGAGAAUUUAUUCUUAAUAUUUAUUGAACAUUUUCUGCUUAACAGGAUAAAGAAUACUUAAACUCCUCUUUGAAUCUAGAAGGAAAUUGAGUGCCUCUCUGACAUUUCCUAGUGGAACAAUGAGAAGAGUCUGUAGCCUUUUCCUUCUGGACAUCUGCACAUGCGUCUGAAUGUAUACUGAAGAGCCAACUAUGCUAUGUAAUAUUAAUUACAGUGAGAUAGGGAGGGAAGUAUUUCUAAUGAUCCUCCAAAUAAGGCUUAGAAAUCCCAGUAACACUAACUAAAAAAUGCCUUUGGCAAUACACAUGUCAACAAA